rnacentral:snoRNA from 1 species
GGAGAAGCAAAGUGAUGAGCAUUGCUGGCUGGAGCCCCAAAGAGGCACACGUGUGUGUGUGUGUGUGUGUGUGUGUGUGUGUGUAUGUAUGUAUAUAUCUGUGCCCUUGUCUGUGCAUGCACACGUAUGUCUGGGAGUAUGAGUGUGUGUGUGACUGGUGGUAGGGAACUAGUUAUGUGCCUUCUGUUGGACCAUGACAGUCAAACUGAUAAGAUCUGAUUGCUUC